rnacentral:rRNA from 1 species
CCUACGGGUGGCAGCAGUGAGGAAUAUUGGUCAAUGGGCGAGAGCCUGAACCAGCCAAGCCGCGUGAAGGAUGAAGGAUCUAUGGUUUGUAAACUUCUUUUAUAUGGGAAUAAAGUGAGGAACGUGUUCCUUUUUGUAUGUACCAUAUGAAUAAGCAUCGGCAAACUCCGUGCCAGCAGCCGCGGUAAUACGGAGGAUGCGAGCGUUAUCCGGAUUUAUUGGGUUUAAAGGGUGCGUAGGCGGAAUAUCAAGUCAGCGGUAAAAUUUCGGGGCUCAACCCCGUAGUGCCGUUGAAACUGAUGGUCUUGAGUGGAGGAGAAGUAUGCGGAAUGCGUGGUGUAGCGGUGAAAUGCAUAGAUAUCACGCAGAACACCGAUUGCGAAGGCAGCAUACCGGCGCCCAACUGACGCUGAGGCACGAAAGCGUGGGUAUCGAACAGGAUUAGAUACCCCUGUAGUC